rnacentral:lncRNA from 1 species
UUUUGUUUAAUUAAAAAAAAGCAUUUGAAGCUAGAACACCAGUAGGCAAAUUCUCAUGGGCAUGGUAGACAUGGCAUCAGUUUAGUAAUGAUCCCAACAUUUAUAUAAUGGGCCAUGGUAUUUCUCAAAGUCAGAAAAAAUGUUCAAAUCUAAGAAAUCAAUGCAGAAAGGUAAGCUGGUUCUUAUGGAAUUUAGAUGAGCCAAAGAUAUUCCCAGGUAGCAUAUGAAUGUUAAAAAUAGUACAGGUUUUCAUUUUUGAGUUGACUUUCCUUUAUAGAUUAGUAUUCUCCAGUUUGGCUAUAAGCAAAUCUACACUAUGUUAUAUAGGCAAUAGCUUAUUUGAUAUUUGACCCUUGCUUAUGUGUUCGAAAAGGUGAUGCAGUUCCCAACUGGAGGUUUUAAGAGAUAAUUCAAGUGAAGUCCUUCAUUCUGUUAUUGGAAUGUUUAGAGAACUGGAAGUAUUUGUAACCAUCAAAGGAGGAAGUUCACUUUUACUUUGUUUUCAAAAUGAUAUUAAGAGAAAAGCACGUUUACAUUUGCUCAGCAUUUCAGGACAUGGGCACAAGUAACCCAGCCUUGAAGCUGCUUUGUCAUCUAGCUUGCAUCUGGCAAAGGAAUGAAACGUAGCAGACCUUCUCUUGGUCUCUAAUCGGCGCUGGCAGCAGACACCAGGGUGCCAGCAGCGCCAGAGGAUUCCCCAGGAAGAGCUGCUUCUGCUGUCCGAGAUUUUCCAGACUUGUUUUGUUUGCUCAUUUGACAUAUAAUCUUGUGGUUUCUGGCCGCGUUCACCACCUAAAGUAGAAAAACAUAUCCGAUUCUUAGGUCUAGCUCAGCUUCUAACUGUUUCAACAAAUUAAAGGACUUGACUGCGGAAUUUUUUGUUUUUAAGUGAACACUUUGCUGUUACUCAAACCCUACCAUGGGUUCCACAGACAAAUGCAAGCUGUCUCUUUAGAUGUGGUCACAGUUGACAGUUCAAAAGAAUGAAAUCAAAACCCUGAAGACUUGAACUAAAAAAAAAUCAUUCUUGGAAUAAAAGCUCGGAUUUCAAAGAUGAUAUUAAAAUGAUAAUAAUUUUACACAUCCUCGUUUAGCAUAAAUUUCUCCUGAUGAAACACUCCCCACAAAACUGUAAGGCUGUGUUGUCUGAAUCACCCUUUUAGGGAAAUCUCUAGAACUUU